AUGUAAAUAUCAAAAUAUGUAUUGCUUUUGUGAAAGGGCAUUUCUUUUGCUGUAUAAAAAGUAUGCAUCUUUUAAUGUGACCAUUUGUGGUUUGUACAGGUAGUUUUUUAUUAUUUUUUUUAUUUAUUAUUAUUAUGUAUUUGCUUGUCAGACACAGUUAUCCAGGGUGAGUUACAGAGGUAACAAGUUAUUACAAUAUAGUUAAGAGCAAGUAGAAAUUGAGAGUUACAUUAAAGGGUACAUUUACAAAAUUGCAGUUGCAUUUAAGACCAUUAUUUAAGAGCCAAUACACUUAAGUGUAGGUACACACAAAACUAAGUGUUUAUUGUCAAAAUAUAUGCAUUAACACUUUGGCAGCGAGCCAUUGUAAUUUUUGUGCUUAAGCACUGAUGACGCGCUCUCUCUUCCGAGAUGUCUCAUGGCAAAAAUAAGCCGUGGGGGAAACAACUCAGUGUUUCUGAGCCUUGUCAUUGAAUAAGGCUCGUACUAGGGGGAAAAAAAAAACAACUGUAUCCCUACGUGCAAAUUUAGAUGAUGCACGUCAACAAAGUGACGCACAGGAAACAGGUCUACCAGCGCAUAUUUUGAAGUUUGUAUUGAGUCACACAUCUUAGAAUGUUCCAGAACUGACAGCGGCCACAACAGAACAGAUGCUUAAUCUACGGCUCUUUUUGAAGGAAAUUGUCUUUUGAAAUUAUAAUUCAAUACACAUUUAGAUUCAAUAUCUAAAAUAAGAACUUGAAUAGUAUUUCAUUUUUUUUUUCCUUUUUCUUCAGACGCUUGAAAAGUACGAGAAGAGGGCUUGUGCUGUUGAUGCGUCGGAGGACAACGCAGCUCUGAGGAGCUUAUAGGCAAGCCCGCAGGUGCCCGGCCAGACUACAGGGGUCGCUGGUGCGCGGUGAACCGAGGACACCCUGGCUGACCUAAUUCUCUGGAGUAUGACUAUAAUUGCAAUAUUCAACAACAAGCCUGACGCCUUAUCCUGUAAGGUGGAGCGGAAACGAGAGGAUACUAACUACGCUAGGCAAUGGUAAAUCAUUGUGACAGAGACAGAAUGAUUCUUGGUGAUAAAUCUCUCUCCUGACCUGUGAGGGUGCUGUGUAAAGGGAACAGAGUGCCCUGGACUGGAUGGCCAGACAAUUCAUUCCCAGGGUUAGAAGGAAGUCGGUCAUCUAGAAAGGGGGCGGAGCUACAAUACACACAGCCACGGAAUGGAGGAGUGGUUUCACUAGUUAACCAAGGGAUCAUGAUUGACCGUACAAAAGGGGGCAUAGCGAAGUGAUCUGUUCCUUGUUAUGGUUAAGCUGAACAGGAAGGAAAGUUAUUAUCGUGAGUGUUUUGUUUGUUUUGUCAUUAUUAAACAUACUGUACUUUGUUUCACGAAUAACUGUAUUUACACCACAAGCACUUUAGCACGCACUGUGGACUUGUGUAUGCGUUUUGUGUUACGUGUGGGUGUAUAAGAAUAGGACUGUUAUAAUUUCAGGACCAACCUGUAUUGCUUGUUAGCAUUAUUACUGUGUUUUGGUGUCAACAGACCAUUGGAUUUAUAAAUAAAAUAACAUUGCACCUGGUU